rnacentral:misc_RNA from 1 species
GAAAAUUGUUAAACCUUAAGCGUCGGCCGCCGGCAGAGAAGAGAUGGGAAGGGGAGGACGCGGCGGAGGCAGCGGUGGACGCCGGUCACUUUCGUCGUCGUUCGAUCGAGAGCUUCGCACCCAUAUUGAGUCCUGUAAGAACAAUUACCUCUCCGUUGAAGAUCUCGUCGACCACCUCCGUUCAUCUUAUCACAAGUAUUCCCGCGAAAAGUUACAGCCGUUUACCAAACGGGUCCAAGAUGUUCUGCAGCUCCAGCGCUCAAACCCUAACUCAACUGAAGAAGUAACGCCUCCGAAGAAGAAGCCAAAAAGAGACGGCAGCGAGCAGCGUUUGCAGCUCCUUGAGAAGAAGCAUAUAAUGAGUAGUCAAAGAAAGAAGCAGGAAGGGGAUGGUUCUUCGUCGACGACUCUCGCAAGUACUUCCGAUAGUGAUGAUUCUUAUUCUUCUUCGUCUUCCGAUGCUAUUUAUGGAGAGAAAUUGGAAGAGAAGCCUGAUUUAAUGAAGUCUAUGCUUCGACAUACGUACAAUCAACAGGUCAAUAGUACUCCCAAGUCGAAAAAGAUUGAAUACGAGGUGAUUCAUGACAAUAAUGAUGAAAAAAGGAAGAAACUUGUUAUGUCUAAAGGAGGACAACGAAGAAAC